rnacentral:rRNA from 1 species
AUAUACAUGCAGUCGAGCGACAGAUAAGGAGCUUGCUCCUUUGACGUUAGCGGCGGACGGGAAGAACACGUGGGUAACCUACCUAUAAGACUGGGAUAACUUCGGGAAACCGGAGCUAAUACCGGAUAACAUUUGGAACCGCAUGGUUCUAAAGUGAAAGAUGGUUUUGCUAUCACUUAUAGAUGGACCCGCGCCGUAUUAGCUAGUUGGUAAGGUAACGGCUUACCAAGGGGACCAUACCGAGCCGACCCUGAGAGGGUGAUCGGCCACACUGGAACUGAGACACGGUCCAGACUCCUACGGGAGGCAGCAGUAGGGAAUCUUCCGCAAUGGGCGAAAGCCUGACGGAGCAACGCCGCGUGAGUGAUGAAGGGUUUCGGCUCGUAAACUCUGUUAUUAGGGAAGAACAAAUGUGUAAGUAACUGUGCACGUCUUGACGGUACCUAAUCAGAAAGCCACGGCUAACUACGUGCCAGCAGCCGCGGUAAUACGUAGGUGGCAAGCGUUAUCCGGAAUUAUUGGGCGUAAAGCGCGCGUGGGCGGUUUCUUAAGUCUGAUGUGAAAGCCCACGGCUCAACCGUGGAGGGUCAUUGGAAACUGGGAAACUUGAGUGCAGAAGAGGAAAGUGAAAUUCCAUGUGUAGCGGUGACAUGCGCAGAGAUAUGGAGGACACCAGUGGCGAAGGCGACUUUCUGGUCUGSAACUGACGCUGAUGUGCGAAAGCGUGGGGAUCAAACAGGAUUAGAUACCUGGUAGUCCACGCCGUAAACGAUGAGUGCUAAGUGUUAGGGGGUUUCCGCCCCUUAGUGCUGCAGCUAACGCAUUAAGCACUCCGCCUGGGGAGUACGACCGCAAGGUUGAAACUCAAAGGAAUUGACGGGGACCCGCACAAGCGGUGGAGCAUGUGGUUUAAUUCGAAGCAACGCGAAGAACCUUACCAAAUCUUGACAUCCUUUGAAAACUCUAGAGAUAGAGCCUUCCCCUUCGGGGGACAAAGUGACAGGUGGUGCAUGGUUGUCGUCAGCUCGUGUCGUGAGAUGUUGGGUUAAGUCCCGCAACGAGCGCAACCCUUAAGCUUAGUUGCCAUCAUUAAGUUGGGCACUCUAGGUUGACUGCCGGUGACAAACCGGAGGAAGGUGGGGAUGACGUCAAAUCAUCAUGCCCCUUAUGAUUUGGGCUACACACGUGCUACAAUGGACAAUACAAAGGGCAGCUAAACCGCGAGGUCAUGCAAAUCCCAUAAAGUUGUUCUCAGUUCGGAUUGUAGUCUGCAACUCGACUACAUGAAGCUGGAAUCGCUAGUAAUCGUAGAUCAGCAUGCUACGGUGAAUACGUUCCCGGGUCUUGUACACACCGCCCGUCACACCACGAGAGUUUGUAACACCCGAAGCCGGUGGAGUAACCAUUUAUGGAGCUAGCCGUCG